rnacentral:rRNA from 1 species
AAACUCAAAAGGAAAUUGACGGGGGACCCCGCACAAAGCGGUGGAUGAUGUGGUUUAAUUUCGAUGCAACGCGAAAAACAUUACCCACCUUUGACAUGUACGGAAUCCUGAAGAGAUUUGGGAGUGCUCGAAAGAGAACCGUAACACAGGUGCUGCAUGGCUGUCGUCAGCUCGUGUCGUGAGAUGUUGGGUUAAGUCCCGCAACGAGCGCAACCCUUGUCAUUAGUUGCUACGAAAGGGCACUCUAAUGAGACUGCCGGUGACAAACCGGAGGAAGGUGGGGAUGACGUCAAGUCCUCAUGGCCCUUAUAGGUGGGGCUACACACGUCAUACAAUGGCUGGUACAAGGGGUUGCCAACCCGCGAGGGGGAGCUAAUCCCAUAAAACCAGUCGUAGUCCGGAUCGCAGUCUGCAACUCGACUGCGUGAAGUCGGAAUCGCUAGUAAUCGUGGAUCAGAAUGUCACGGUGAAUACGUUCCCGGGUCUUGUACACACCGCCCGUCACUCCAUGGGAGCGGGUUCUGCCAGAAGUAGUUAGCCUAACCGCAAGGAGGGCGAUUACCACGGCUGGGUUCGAAAGUGGGGUGAAGUCGUAACAAGGUAA